CAGCAAAACAAAACACUCCCGAAAUCGAAACGCACGCAAAUCUCGCCCAGUUUUCUCUGUGUCUCCCGGACCCGACUCACCGCUCCAUCGAUCUCGCCCAGUUCUCUCUCCAUCUCGCCGGCGUCCGCCCCUUCUCCAUCACCAGAUGGACGCCGUCCGCCACGGCUCCUUCUAUCCGCAACCUCGCCACAGCUCUGCCUCUCCAGCCUCGCCGGCUGCCGGCCGCCCCGACCUCCUCACCGUCCGGCGCCGCCCCCUGCCGACGCGCCCCCAAUCGAGCCUAAAACCGCGCCGCCGUGAAACCCUCAGUGGGCGUCGAGGAAGCCGCGGGCCAGGCCACGCGCGGAACCUCCCCCCCCUGCUCUUCCCCCUCCCCGUCCUCGCCGCCGCCGCUCCGUCCCCAUGCGCGCGUGUCCUUCACCGCCGCUUCCUCACACGUCUGGAGGUUGUGGCCCUGCGGGUGGAGAUGUCCAGCGGCGUCGCUACGUCGACCACCGCGGUUGCUGCUGGAGGCAGCCGGAGGAGCGAGGCGGGACGCGCUGCUGAUGGUCGCCGCCGUGCGCGGGGUGCAGUGGUAGGACGACGUACCUAGGGUGAGGGGAUAUCGCACCAUCUGUCACACGAGUUCCGCAGCGGCGGAUGCGGCGGACUGUUGAUGAUGCUGCGGUGGCUGCCGCCGCCCCCAGCUACUCCUCGUGGAAGAUCAGGGCUUCCUGGAGCAUGAGAUGUCCAGGGUGAGGGGAUAUCGCACCAUCUGUCACAUGAGUUCCACAACGGUGGAUGUGGCGGACUGUUGAUGUUGCCGCAGAGGCUGCCGCCGCCCCCAACUACUCGUGGAAGACCAGGGCUUCCUGGAGCAUGAGAUGUCCAGGUUGUAUGGGGUCCAGGCAAUCCCAUUCUUUCUAGCGUCUCAUGGCCGUGUUUGCGUGUUUUGGUAUGGUUACUGCAGUUGGUUGGUACCAUUGCUAUAUCUACCUGUAGCUGUUGUGCUAUUUCUGAAGUUGCUUUGUUUCCUGAAUUAUUUUGCUAUUGUUUCUUGAAGUUGAGGAAAUUUUGUUGCUGUUAUGACCUGGUGAUGUGGAGGUAAUAGAACCUCCUCACAUAGUUCCCUUUGAAGUAUUUGCUGUAUAUCUUAUUCUUGUGUUGGUGAGAUGCUUUUCUUUUCUUCUGCAAAGCGAGUGUUGAUGGAGUAGUACAGCAGCCACAAGCAUUUGAUUCAUUAUGAUUUUUUUCGCGUAGUUGAUCAUGCCCUGAUGCCAUUUUUUUGUAUUUUAUUUGGAAGAGUGUUGUUUUCUUUAUUUAACAUGUUUAAAUAGCUGAUCAACGUGCUAGUAGUUUUUUUUGGAGUAGUUCCAUGAUUACUACAGAAGCAAGAAUCUGAUUUGUGACCAUUCUUAAGAGCUUUAGUAGUAUAUAUAAAGGCUAUUAACUGCUAUGGUCUGCUUCAUUUGUGUGUAUUAAUCAUGCAACUUUUGAUCCUAAGAGAGAUGUCCAUAUCUGCACCUAAUUAGUUACAUAAACUGAAAUACUUAAUGGUAGUUUCCUAACGUAAUUGCUUACUCGAAAUUCUGUGUUCUUUCCCAUGAUCUGUAUAUAUGUAGUGCUUAGUGCUGGCCAUGUAUUGUUUACUAGAAAUUCUUUGUCUGUUCUGUCCAUUCCAACUAACCUAGCUGGCCAUUUAUUUUCACAAAACUGUUCUUGACCAUACUCCUUUGUUUAUUUCAGCAAGGUAUCCAAGUCUGGUGCUUCCAUGAGGUACCCAGGUUCCCAUGGUUCAGGCAUGAAAGUGGCUAUCCGUUAGCGGGAUCAAGUGUUAUUAUGUGUGUUGUCUCUUAGGGGAUUUCAAGUUGGUGGGGCUGGUUAGGAGGUAUCCAUGGCCGCCAGAUCUAUCCAGUUUGCAGCGGUUGCCUUCGUCUUCGACUUGGUGGGUUUAGUAUCUUGUGUUGAUCUCCAAGAGGAUAUAUAUAUCGUGGAGAACGGGUGGAUGGCAGCAAGGAACCUGCAGUGCGAUGCGUCAUCCGAUGUGACCUGGAAGAGACAAUGAAGGAAGCAGCUGACUUGAGUACAUGCCUUGCUCUGUCUGUACGACAACUAUCUUUAUUCAAUCGGGAUGUAGUGUAGUGCAGUACCGCCGGCAUUUCAGAUUCAGAGGAAUCUCGUAUGGCAUCUUGUCCGUGUUGUAUGUAACCGACCGUCCUAGGAUGGGGUUGCGGAUGCAUCAGCUUUUGCUUUGCUUUGAUGCUGAUGGCGGUUGGUUUUUUUUUUUUUUUUUUUGUCCCCAUUGAUUGGAUCGAGUUGGGGUUGAAUGUGUAUGCCAAGCGUGUGUGUUGAAUUGAAGUAUGGUAUUUGCUGUGCAGGUUUGGAUGCCAAAAUUUUGAGCAUGCACUCCCUGGCAUUUUGGUCA